rnacentral:lncRNA from 1 species
UUUCUCCAUGGCGUGAAAGAAAGAGAGAGAGAGAGACAUUUAAGUGCCUUCAGACAACCAAACCUGUAAUUAAAUUGUUAUAUAUUUUUGGCCUGACGUAGAAACGUUGUGACUCUGUUGUCGGGGGAAACAUGUUCCAGCCGUUAUGGGAUUGAGGGGCUGGUUGCCAGGAAGUGUCCAGACAGCUCCUCCGGGGAGCUCCACUCGGACGACACUACAGGGUGGGAAGAUGUCAUUUCAGAGUGGUUUUUAUUGUGGCACCCACAACUUUGCACUGCACCGUCUCUGUGGAAUUAAGGUCUGACUCGACUCACUGCGCCUGCAGGUGUCGUGGCGCUGUGUGCCCGCCAUGUGGUGAGGGGGCGGAUGUCUUGGCUGUGUCUGGAUCUCAGGGGCCCUACAUACGCAAUGUCAGCCUGGCUGCACUGACAGACGCAGAGCAUGCUGGGAUGCCUUUUCUCCUAAAGGUUUCUGGCUACUUGGCGGCUCCACCCACUCAGCCCACUGGUUUGUUAGACUGUAGAUCUAUCCACCAUGUAGCUGGUUUGAUAGAAGUAAUAAAAAGAUAACUGCAUAUGAGUAUUUUUGACAGACAUGUUGAUCGUUGGUUGUGAUUGGACUGUUGUGUGGUUGUCAGGGAUACAAGACCUGGGAGGAGUGAACCUCUCUUCUGUGGAUGUUCAGUUCUGUGGGAAGAGGAACAAAGGUCAAAGUUCACAUAGUGUCAACGUCCGGGAAGAUGGCUUCUUCACCUUUUCUUCUGAUUGGAUGCUAGAAAACCCUGGAACAUACCAAAUCAAUGUCUCUGUCUCCAACCUACUGUCCCAGCUGUCUUCCUCCCUCCAUCUCUCUGUCUUGAGUCCCUCUCCAGAAGGGUUAGAGGUCAGCCUGGUCCAGGGGUGGGGAGCCACACCAAGCUGCAUUCCCUACCCAGCCCAGGGCCUCCCAACCCAGGCUCUGGGUAAGGCCUACCUGGGUGAAACUCUCACCCUGCUUGCAUACGUAAGAGCCGGAGUCAUGGUUCAGUUCCACUGGAGCUUCAGUGAUGACGAGGAGGAAUUGGAGGAUGAUGAAGAGGAGGGGAAGACUCAGGAUGUCAAGACAAACUGCCUUCCAGAUUCUGACUGUCUGUGCAGCAUUGUGGUGAGAGAUGUGUAGUGGAUCCCAUCUGGGGAUUUUCAGGGAGUCCGGGGAUUUUCUUUAGGCACUAUGAUGCGGUAUUGUCAUGUAGGUCAAAAAACUAAAUUCAAUGUUUUUUCAGAACCGAACAUUUGAAAGGGAGGGAGUUCACAUUGUUAUGGUCAAUGCUUCCAACUUACAUGGCUGGACUCAGGAAACCAUUCAUAUCGUGAGUAACUCUGCUGCAAUGUCAUUAGACCUUAUAUGUUAUAGGAUGGAAAGACUUGAUAGAGGGCUCAGUUUCUGU